GGUGGAGCACUGCGUGGCAAACGCAGAGAUAUUAGACCAAUCCUGGCUUUGCCUUAGCGGUCAAAAUCUUCGCUCCUGCUAAAUAAGUUUUGAGUUCAAUUCCUCUGCGCUUUUGAUGUAUUAGAGUUUUCUAGCUGCAAAAGAAUGAUCGACCAUGUCCUUUAGGAUAAUAUAUUGCAACUUACGGAGGCUGAGGCAACAGAGGGAUGGGGACUUUGUUGGCUGGAAC
rnacentral:lncRNA from 1 species